GUGCUCGUGGUGUAGUGGUUAUCAGUAUCACAUCCGCCUAGCACGUGGAAGGGCCCAGGUUCGAUCCCUGGCCGGCACA